UACGGAGGGGGCUAGCGUUGUUCGGAAUUACUGGGCGUAAAGCGCGCGUAGGCGGCCCUGCAAGUCGGGGGUGAAAGCCCGAGGCUCAACCUCGGAACUGCCUUCGAUACUGCGGGUCUCGAGUCCGGGAGAGGUGAGUGGAAUUCCUAGUGUAGAGGUGAAAUUCGUAGAUAUUAGGAAGAACACCAGUGGCGAAGGCGGCUCACUGGCCCGGUACUGACGCUGAGGCGCGAGAGCGUGGGGAGCAAACCGG
rnacentral:rRNA from 1 species